UACGUAGGGGGCAAGCGUUGUCCGGAUUUACUGGGCGUAAAGAGCGUGUAGGCGGCCACGCAGGUCCGUUGUGAAAACUGGAGGCUCAACCUCCAGACGUCGACGGAAACCGUAUGGCUAGAGUCCGGAAGAGGAGAGUGGAAUUCCUGGUGUAGCAGUGAAAUGCGUAGAUAUCAGGAGGAACACCGAUGGCGAAGGCAGGUCUCUGGGCUGACACUGACGCUCAUGCACGAAAGCGUGGGGAGCAAACAGG
rnacentral:rRNA from 1 species